UACGGAGGGUGCAAGCGUUAUCCGGAUUCACUGGGUUUAAAGGGUGCGUAGGUGGGCAAGUAAGUCAGUGGUGAAAUCCCGGAGCUCAACUCCGGAACUGCCUUUAAAACUGCAUCGCUUGAAUCCAGGAGAGGUGAGUGGAAUUCCGAGUGUAGAGGUGAAAUUCGUAGAUAUUCGGAAGAACACCAGUGGCGAAGGCGGCUCACUGGACUGGUAUUGACGCUGAGGUGCGAAAGCGUGGGGAGCAAACAGG
rnacentral:rRNA from 1 species